AUGUGGAAGAAUUCGUUCAAAAUUCUUCCGCAGUUCACGCAACCCGGUUUUAUAGAUGUGCGGAUAGAAAACAAUGAUGGAAUCUUUUGGAGAUUUACGUGCUUUUAUGGAGAACCAAAAUGGGAGAGGAGGCACCUAUCAUGGAGAACUCUUAGAGAUCUACACCAUCAAUCUUCUGUCCCUUGGCUUGUUGCUGUUGAUUUUAACGAGAUCUUGUACUCUCAUGAAAAGGAGGGUGGUAACCUGAGACCGGUUAAAAUGAUGGAGGACUUUAGGGAGGUACUCACUGAUUGUGGUUUAGAGGAUCUUGGUUAUUCUGGAGAUUUAUUCACUUGGCGCAGAGGUCGUAUCAAGGAGCGUCUUGAUCGUGCUGUAGGGAACGGAUUGUAGCAAUGUCUAUUUCCUGCAGCUACUGUAACAAAUGGAGAACAUAGUAAAUCAGACCAUCGUCCGCUUAUAAUUGAUCUUGAGCCCAAUGAUAUUCCUAUCCCUCGGUCAGGUGGUUGCAAGAAAUUCGAAGCUCGGUGGUUACAAGAAAAUUCAGUUCAGGAGCCCGUCGCCAACGCAUGGGAGAAUGCAACAGAGGAGCCAAAUUUCGCUACACGCACAGCUCUUGUGCAUGCCGCGCUUCAUAAGUGGGACAAAGAAAUUCUGAAGGCCCCAAAGAAGAGGUUGGAUGACCUGAAGGCACGGCUUGAGGCGACCCGUAGGGAGCAACCAACAGAUGAGAACUCAGCUCGGUUACGAGAAAUAUUGAUGGAAAUUGAAAAUAUACUAGAACAGGAGGAAGUAUAUUGGUUGCAACGCUGCCAUGCAAAUUGGCUUAAGAAUGGAGACCGUAAUACUAAUUUCUUUUAG
rnacentral:rRNA from 1 species